GAUGAACGCUGGCGGCGUGCCUAAUACAUGCAAGUCGAGCGGAAAGACGAGGCGCUUGCGCCUCUGACGUUAGCGGAGGACGGGUGAGUAACGCGUGGAUCACCUACCUAUAAGACUGGGAUAACUUCGGGAAACCGGAGCUAAUACCGGAUAAUAUAUUGAAGCGCAUGGGUCAAUGGUAAAAGACGGUUUUGCUGUCAGUUAUAGAUGGUUCCGCGCCGGAUGAGCUAGUUGGGAAGGUAACGGCUUACCAAGGCAACGAUGCGUAGCCGACCUGCGAGGGGGUACGGCCACUCUGGAGCUGAGAGACGGCCCAGGCUCUUACGGGAGGCAGAAGCAGGUAAGCUACCGAAAAGGGCGAAAGCUUGACGGAGCAACGGAGCGUGAGUGAUGAAGGGCUGCGUGUCGUAAAACGCUCUUAGUGGGGAAGAACAAAUGUGUAAGUAACGAUGCGCGUGUGGACGGAACCGAUACAGAAAGCCCCGGCAAACUACGG
rnacentral:rRNA from 1 species